GGCCCCGCACAAGCAGCGGAGCGUGUGGUUUAAUUCGAGGCUACGCGAAGAACCUUACCUAGGUUUGACAUCUGGCGCAAUCCUGUGAAAGCAGGAGUUCCGCAAGGACGCCAAGACAGGUGCUGCAUGGCUGUCGUCAGCUCGUGUCGUGAGAUGUUCGGUUAAGUCCGAAAACGAGCGCAACCCCCGGGUCUAGUUACAAGUGUCUAGACCGACUGCCUGCGACAAGUGGGAGGAAGGUGGGGAUGACGUCAAGUCAGCAUGGCCUUUACAUCUAGGGCUACACACACGCUACAAUGGCGCGUACAGUGGGAAGCAAGACCGCGAGGUGGAGCGAAUCCUGAAAGCGCGUCGUAGUUCGGAUUGCAGGCUGCAACUCGCCUGCAUGAAGCUGGAGUUGCUAGUAAACGUAGGUCAGCACACUACGUUGAAUACGUUCUCGGGGCUU
rnacentral:rRNA from 1 species